rnacentral:rRNA from 1 species
AACAGGAUUAGAUACCCUGGUAGUCCACGCCGUAAACGAUGUCGACUUGGAGGUUGUUCCCUUGAGGAGUGGCUUCCGGAGCUAACGCGUUAAGUCGACCGCCUGGGGAGUACGGCCGCAAGGUUAAAACUCAAAUGAAUUGACGGGGGCCCGCACAAGCGGUGGAGCAUGUGGUUUAAUUCGAUGCAACGCGAAGAACCUUACCUACUCUUGACAUCCAGAGAACUUAGCAGAGAUGCUUUGGUGCCUUCGGGAACUCUGAGACAGGUGCUGCAUGGCUGUCGUCAGCUCGUGUUGUGAAAUGUUGGGUUAAGUCCCGCAACGAGCGCAACCCUUAUCCUUUGUUGCCAGCGAUUCGGUCGGGAACUCAAAGGAGACUGCCGGUGAUAAACCGGAGGAAGGUGGGGAUGACGUCAAGUCAUCAUGGCCCUUACGAGUAGGGCUACACACGUGCUACAAUGGCGCAUACAAAGAGAGGCGACCUCGCGAGAGCAAGCGGACCCCACAAAGUGCGUCGUAGUCCGGAUCGGAGUCUGCAACUCGACUCCGUGAAGUCGGAAUCGCUAGUAAUCGUGGAUCAGAAUGCCACGGUGAAUACGUUCCCGGGCCUUGUACACACCGCCCGUCACACCAUGGGAGUGGGUUGCAAAAGAAGUAGGUAGCUUAACCUUCGGGAGGGCGCUUACCACUUUGUGAUUCAUGACUGGGGUGAAGUCGUAACAAGGUAACC